rnacentral:rRNA from 1 species
UACGUAGGGGGCGAGCGUUGUCCGGAUUUAUUGGGCGUAAGGAGCUCGUAGGCGGUUUGGCAAGUCGGGUGUGAAAACUCCGGGCUCAACUCGGAGACGCCACUCGAUACUGCUAUGACUCGAGUCCGGUAGGGGAGUGCGGAAUUCCUGGUGUAGCGGUGAAAUGCGCAGAUAUCAGGAGGAACACCGGUGGCGAAGGCGGCACUCUGGGCCGGUACUGACGCUGAGGAGCGAAAGCGUGGGGAGCGAACAGG